UGCGUAGGCGGCGCGGAAAGUUGGGUGUGAAAUCCCUCGGCUCAACCGAGGAACUGCGCCCAAAACUACCGUGCUCGAGGAAGAUAGAGGUGAGCGGAACUCACGGUGGAGCGGUGAAAUGCGUUGAUAUCGUGAGGAACACCCGUGGCGAAAGCGGCUCACUGGGUCUUUUCUGACGCUGAUGCACGAAAGCUAGGGGAGCAAACG
rnacentral:rRNA from 1 species